CCUACGGGUGGCUGCAGUGGGGAAUAUUGGACAAUGGGGGGAACCCUGAUCCAGCCAUGUCGCGUGUGUGAAGAAGGCCCUCGGGUUGUAAAGCACUUUCAGUGAGGAAGAACGCCUGGUGGUUAAUACCCAUCAGGAAAGACAUCACUCACAGAAGAAGCACCGGCUAACUCCGUGCCAGCAGCCGCGGUAAUACGGAGGGUGCGAGCGUUAAUCGGAAUUACUGGGCGUAAAGCGCGCGUAGGUGGCUUGAUAAGCCGGUUGUGAAAGCCCCGGGCUCAACCUGGGAACGGCAUCCGGAACUGUUAAGCUAGAGUGCAGGAGAGGAAGGUAGAAUUCCCGGUGUAGCGGUGAAAUGCGUAGAGAUCGGGAGGAAUACCAGUGGCGAAGGCGGCCUUCUGGACUGACACUGACACUGAGGUGCGAAAGCGUGGGUAGCAAACAGGAUUAGAUACCCUAGUAGUC
rnacentral:rRNA from 1 species